rnacentral:rRNA from 1 species
AUGAACGCUGGCGGCGUGCCUAAUGCAUGCAAGUCGAGCGAACAGACGAGGAGCUUGCUCCUCUGACGUUAGCGGCGGACGGGUGAGUAACACGUGGAUAACCUACCUAUAAGACUGGGAUAACUUCGGGAAACCGGAGCUAAUACCGGAUAAUAUAUUGAACCGCAUGGUUCAAUAGUGAAAGACGGUUUUGCUGUCACUUAUAGAUGGAUCCGCGCCGCAUUAGCUAGUUGGUAAGGUAACGGCUUACCAAGGCAACGAUGCGUAGCCGACCUGAGAGGGUGAUCGGCCACACUGGAACUGAGACACGGUCCAGACUCCUACGGGAGGCAGCAGUAGGGAAUCUUCCGCAAUGGGCGAAAGCUUGACGGAGCAACGCCGCGUGAGUGAUGAAGGUCUUCGGAUCGUAAAACUCUGUUAUUAGGGAAGAACAAAUGUGUAAGUAACUAUGCACGUCUUGACGGUACCUAAUCAGAAAGCCACGGCUAACUACGUG